rnacentral:rRNA from 1 species
AGUCUAGUCUAGCAUGUGCACGUCCCCCUCGCCUUCUUUCUUUAUCUACACACACCUGUGCACCUUUUGUAGAUCUCUUCCCUCUCGAAAGAGUGGGAGGAAUCUAUGUCUUUAUCAUAUCACACAUGUCGUAUGGCCAGAAUGAAACGAUAUAUAACAUAUACAACUUUCAGCAACGGAUCUCUUGGUUCUCGCAUCGAUGAAGAACGCAGCGAAUUGCGAUAAGUAAUGUGAAUUGCAGAUUUCCAGUGAAUCAUCGAAUCUUUGAACGCAUCUUGCGCUCCUUGGUAUUCCGAGGAGCAUGCCUGUUUGAGUGUCAUUUAAUUAUCAACCAUCUCUCCCUCUUUGAGAGGUAUGGAUUGGACUUGGAGGUUGCUGGUGGCCUGACCAUCAGCUCCUCUUAAAUGCAUUAGCGAUCGAGUUGGCUGGUCUUUUGACAUGCACGGCCUUGGACGUGAUAAUGAUCCGUCCUGGCUGGAGCGUCUUUCCUAGACUAUGUACAUGGAUGGCUUCUAAUAACAUAUGACAGUAAGGGACGUCGGUCUACUAGUCUAUCAAGCUUAGUUACUAGGCAGUCGAAAGGCUGGCGAACACAAGCAAGACAAAGAUGGAUCAUACCUUUCUUUCGAUCUAUAAGAGACUG